rnacentral:rRNA from 1 species
CCUACGGGGCGCAGCAGUGAGGAAUAUUGGUCAAUGGACGGAAGUCUGAACCAGCCAUGCCGCGUGCAGGAAGACGGCUCUAUGAGUUGUAAACUGCUUUUGUACAAGGGUAAACCUGAAUACGUGUAUUCAGCUGAAAGUACUGUACGAAUAAGGAUCGGCUAACUCCGUGCCAGCAGCCGCGGUAAUACGGAGGAUCCAAGCGUUAUCCGGAUUUAUUGGGUUUAAAGGGUGCGUAGGCGGAUUGAUAAGUUAGAGGUGAAAUGUCCGAGCUUAACUCGGGAACUGCCUCUAAUACUGUUGAUCUAGAGAGUAGAUGCGGUAGGCGGAAUGUAUGGUGUAGCGGGGAAAUGCUUAGAGAUCAUACAGAACACCGAUUGCGAAGGCAGCUUACCAAUCUAUAUCUGACGUUGAGGCACGAAGGCGUGGGGAGCAAACAGGAUUAGAUACCCCAGUAGUC